AUUGAACGCUGGCGGCAGGCCUAACACAUGCAAGUCGAGCGAGCGGCGGACGGGUGAGUAAUGCCUGGGAAUUGCCAAGUCGAGGGGGAUAACAGUUGGAAACGACUGCUAAUACCGCAUAAGAUUGGCUUGCCCAGGUGGGAUUAGCUAGUUGGUGAGGUAAUGGCGCACCAAGUCGACGAUCCCUGGCUGGCCUUAGAUGAUGUUCAUCCACACUGGAACUGAGACACGGUCCAGACGCCGACGUGAGGCAGCAGUGGUGAAGAUUGCACAUUGUGGUAAACCCUGAUGCAGCCAUGCCGCGUGGGUGAAGAAGGCCUUCGGGUUGUAAAGCACGUUCAGCGAGGUGGCGUUACUCGCAGAAGAAGCACCGGCUAACUCCGUGCCAGCAGCCGCGGUAAUAC
rnacentral:rRNA from 1 species